rnacentral:lncRNA from 1 species
UAAAGGAAAAAAAUCAGCCGCAAUAAUGGAAGGGGCCCUGCCCUGCAUCUUUUGAAUUUAUUUUCAAAAAUUAAAGAUGAGGGUCUGGAGCUUGACGUAUAUACAUAUGAGGCAUUGCUAGGGCAUGCUGUAAAUCAGGCAGGUAUGCAUUUGACGAUAUAUACAACUUUGGCUGCAUUUAUAUGGCUAAUUCAACUUUGCUUAAAUGCCUAAUAAUGGAUAUGUUUAUCUCGUUUGUUGCUUUAGUUUUUUUUAAUGAAUAGUUAUCCAGUCUUUCUAGUUUAAAUAGAUAAUUGAAGUUGUUAAAAUUCAGUAGUUAAUCAUUACAUCCUCCCCCACAACAGUAAUUUUCAUAAACUAUCGACCUUGCUUUAGUUGAGCAUAAUCAUUUGAAAUUAGAAUUGAGGUGUGCCUUUAGUUGAAUUUUUCAUGGCCCUCGCAAACUUAAAAAUGCAUAGUUGCUUUACGCGCGCUAUUUUAAAAAAUACUUUUCUAAACUCGGGUGUGCAUUUCAUGUGACUCAAAUCCAAAUCCCAAAACGUUGGAUAAAAUGUGUUUCGGAUCCGGGUGCAUUUCAUGUGACGCAAUCCANNNNNNNNNNNNNNNNNNNNNNNNNNNNNNNNNNNNNNNNNNNNNNNNNNNNNNNNNNNNNNNNNNNNNNNNNNNNNNNNNNNNNNNNNNNNNNNNNNNNNNNNNNNNNNNNNNNNNNNNNNNNNNNNNNNNNNNNNNNNNNNNNNNNNNNNNNNNNNNNNNNNNNNNNNNNNNNNNNNNNNNNNNNNNNNNNNNNNNNNNNNNNNNNNNNNNNNNNNNNNNNNNNNNNNNNNNNNNNNNNNNNNNNNNNNNNNNNNNNNNNNNNNNNNAUUUCAUGUGACGCAAUCCAAAGACAUGUUUUAAACGACGUUCACAUUCCUAAAAAUUCAAUUAAAAGCAGUAAAUAAUUUAAAAUUGCACUAUAGGAUGAACAUGUUGUAAAAUUAGAUAUUAGGCCAAGUAUGAUAGUUUAAGCGAGCGUGCUAGAACCACGGAAUCCGAGGGUGCGUAACACCUUCCCUCGGGUUCACAGAAAUCCUUACUCAAGAAUUGAUGGUUCGCAGACUUCAAUCGGAAAGUCGAAAUUUCCUCAAUUUGGGAUUCCAUAUAAACCGGUGACUCGGUACACCAAAAGCCAAAGCUAUCCCAAGUGGCGACUCUGAAAUAAAUAAAUAAUCUCAAUUCGAAUAAUGUCAAUUUAAAUGAAAAAAUCUUUUAUAUAUUUAUCCUUUCGGGGUAGACACGUAAAAAUGAGACGUGACAAUGAUCAAGUUGAGUAAACUAAAAUCCAUGGUACUUGGGUGUCAAAAUGAAUAUCCCAUUUACAGUCAGUCAAUUCCUCUAGCAUAAAAGUCGAAUCAUGUUUUUCUGUUUGUAGCUAAAACAACAGAAACUCCAGUAGAUUCAGAUUCAAGUACAACAAAAUCAAUGAGUCAUCAGAAGAUCAAGAUGAUGCACUGAAGAAGGUAACAGAUUUUCAAGUUAAUAGAUUUUGCUGGGUAAAUUUCUUGACACUACUCUUUAAUUAUAUUUUUUCUUGGAAGUAUUUAGCGCUUGGUUAGGUUCUUAUGUUGUUAGAACCACGGAAUCAUUAGCCAUGUAAAAUGGUUUUGCUUUAUAAAUUGAGCAAACAUGCCAGAAAAUAAACAUUAUUUACCAUCACCGAGCCAUGAUAGAAUGACAAUUUACUUGGACGUGUAUUUUUUAGCUCGGUGUUGUACUUUAGUUUAACAAUAAAAUUCCUAAGUAAAGAUUUGUGAUCACAGGUUUAUCAACCCAUAGUCCUCAGUAAUGGGAUACUGCUUCGAACACUCCUCUUUUAUAGAGCACUGACAUUAAAUUUUAUGAUCCUCAGAAUGGCCUCUAGAGAAUAUUGUGGCACUUUAUCUUUUAGAAUAUCUUUUUAAUUUUACCAUCCUAUCACUUUGUAUGACGUAUCUACAGAAGCAACACUAUUUCAUUAAUACCGGAACACUUGGGAAAAAACAAGAAGGAUGCAAUAUGAAUCUUCAUUUAGUCCUUAAUAAAAGUAAAGACAUUCUUCUUUUUGCAUAAAAAGUUUCUCGGAGAAUAAAUAAGUGAUGCAAUAAAAUGUAAAAGGAAAGGAGUCAAUACUUUUUUUCUGAUAAUAUGUUUCACUUUGUUUUUGUAAUAACCCGAAAGGUCAUCACUCGUUUUUAAAGUAUAUUCAGUGUUUCGAGGCCUUAAAAAAAAGUUUAUCCCACCUCAAUUUGCGUGCACAGUUCGGAUGCGUUUCCAAAGAGUUUUUAUGUGAAAACUAAGUGAAAUAAGGAAAUUAUCUUUCAAAAUUGAAUAAAGUUGACUUUGGUCAACAUUCUUGAUAAACAGACCUCGGACUCGUAAUCUGAUAGUCUCGUAGGGUCCGUAGUAAAAUUUGGGACUUGGGUAUAAGCCAGAAAUCGAACUCUGAAGUCCCAAACACGAGAAAUAAAUUUUUAAAGAAAAUUAUUUUCUGAAAAAUAUAAGAGUUUUUGAAAAUGAAAAGAUAUUUCAAAUUGAUGGUAUCGGGCUCGUAUUUGGUUCCAAAGUCCGGUAUAAGUUUAAAAUAAUAAUUAAGUUGAAUCUGUGAAGUUUGGUAAGAAUCGAAGUUUGUUUAGUAUAAAUCGGACCUUUAUUUGGGAAAAAUUAAAAAUUUUAAUGUUCUUGAGUGAUUUCAUGAAUUUGAAGUUUAAUUCAUAGUUGUUGAUUUUACUUUGAUGAUUUGAUCGCAUAAGCAUGUCCAUAUGAUAUUUUUAGGUUAGGUGCAUGCUUGGUUUGGAGCCCCGAGGGCUCGGAUGAGUUUUAGAUAGGUCUCGAAGUGCAUUUAGACUUAGAACGUGACAGUUGCAGGUAAAGAGAAAAUUUGCAGGUCUCUGAAACCAAGUUCCGCGGUCCGCAGUGGGGUCUUUGUGAUUGCAGUGGAAUUUAUGCAAUCCGCAGUGGGGUCUUUAUGACCGCGGUGGGGUUUAUAUAUUCCGCGUGAGCAAGGCUAUGUCUUCGCGGCCGCGCUCGAUAUUUCGUGGUCCGCGGUAGAGAUCGUGGCCGCUGUCCUUUUCAUGCGGUCCGCGAUGAGGGUAUGAGAGGAGUGUAUAAACGGGACUCUUCAGCUAUUUUUCAAUUUUUAAAACCCUAAAACAUAAGAGGCUAUUUUUCAAACACUCUUUUUCCCAAAACACUACUAAGUGACUUUUAACUCAUUUCUUUCACCCCUUAAUUUCUUUUUACUAGAUUGCAUCCUAGAAUCUAGGGUUUUCAUGGUGAAAUUGAAAAUAUUGGGUAAAACCUAAGUAUAUUGAAAUUUGGGAAUUUAGACCUCAAAUUGAGGUCGGAUUCUAAAACUAAUUAUAUAUCCGGGAUCGGGGUGAAUGGGUAAUCGGGUAAUGGUCUGAAUUCCGAUUUUGACCAAGCGGGCUCGAGGUCAAUUUUUGAAUUCUUGGAAAAAUCAUUGGAAAACCUAUUUUCCUGCACUAGAAUUGAUUCAUUUAGCGUUUAUUGAUAUUGUUAAGUAAAUUGUGGAUGGAUACAAGCGAAUUGGUGGUGGAAACAAGAGAUAAAGCGAUAGCUGAGGCUUGAAUUGUGUUCGUGGCAUCGAGGUAAGUGUUUGGUCUAACCUUAGCUUGAGUAAUUAGAAGUUAUGUCUUAAUUGCUAUGUUAAUUGUUGAGUACAACAUAUAGGCAUGAUGAAAAGUAUCUAUACAUUGGUCUCAAGCAUGCCCGUGAGUCUUAUAUUACGUUUGAUGUGACUCUGAUUUGUAUUGAUCAUGCUUUAUAUGUUGUCUCCUAUUGUGGAACAAGGAUGGUGGAAGUAUAAAUUAUAAUUUAACAUUAUACAUCAUUGGCUCAAGUUGAGAAGUAAAUUGUGAAGUAAUUAUGGAAUAGAGAAGAGGUUUAUGAUAUUGUCUCCCUUGCCAGCAUAUUGUUGCUUUGAUAUUAUGUCCUUGCCGGGAUGUUAUUAUUCAUGAUACUAUUUCCAUUGCCAGGAUAUUGUUGUUAUGCUAUUGUUCCCUUGCCAGAAUUUUAUUGAAAUAUUAUUGAUUCCCUUGCCCAAAUUGCUUUGUGAUUGUUGCUUGAGUGAGGAAGAGUGUAAAGUACAAAGGGUGAUACCGUGUAUGGUUUUGAGAUGUUAAUGCACGAAGGGUGAUGUCGUGCCAAUAUUAUAAGGUAAAAGCACAAAGGUGAUGUUGUGCCGCAUGAUGUACAAUGUCUAUCACGGCCCUAAUCCCGAACCCGAUUGUGAUGGUGCCUCUCAUGAAGACAAGGCCAACCGACACUUUUUAUUUUCUAAUUUUUAACAAAUAAGCAUUUAAGAGCGGUCUAAACAUGAUAAGAAUAAAUCUAAAAUAACUAAUAAUAACAUAAAUACGCGGAAGAACACCCAUACGCAGCCCUAACUAGGUUGUCACUAGUCAUGAGCAUCUAUAAAUCAUAAUAAAAUUCUGCUAAUUCCAUAAUUGGUACAAUGUCUAAAAGGGAACAGAAGCAAUGAAAGAGUAGAGACACGGGCUGCGGAUGUCAACAGCUACCCCGGGUAUCUCUGAAAGCCCGCCUGAAGCUGGAGGAAUUAGCACUCGGGAGCGGAACCAGCUACGCCUACAUCUGCACACAGGGUGCAUGGAGUAAAAUGAGUACUCCAACUCAGUGAGUACGAAAUGUAAAUAACGACUGAAAAUAAGAAAACACGCAAGGCACAAGGAAUUCUACAAUGAAGCAGUAAAAUCAUGUGAAAACAGUAAACCAGUGAAAAAUCAAGUAAAAUCCUCUUUCAACAAGUAAACAAGUAGUUGAUAGGUAAUAGAGGUAAAGUAAAUAAAUAGAAGUUCGACCCUCGGCACAGAAUCACCACAUUUGCCCCUCGGGCAACAUCACAUAACAAUAACAGCCACUCGGGCUCAAUCUCAUGUCAUAAUGGGUACCCGCGCUCACUGGGGGUGUGCAAACUCCUGGAGGGGCCUCUUACAACCCAAGCGCAAUAACAAGCCAUCUCGUGGCAUCAAAUCUAGGCCCUCGGCCUCAUAUCCAUCAAGCCACCUCGUGGCGUACAUACCUCAAGCCCUCAGCGUCAAAUCAGUAUCAGUGUCUCCUCACAAUAUAGGCUCUCCAUCUUACUCAGUCAAAAUCAUCACAAGCCCCUCGGGCAAUAGUAAGACAGUACUUCUCAACCCAAACAUCAUUUAAAAUAUCAUUUAAGUCUUAAAAACUAAGUAAAAAUGACUGAGUAUGAAAAUAAUGAAAAAUAACAUGAAUUGAGUUCAAGUAAUAUGUCAAAACAGUGAGGAAAUAUCAGUGAAAAGCCCCGAAGGGCUCAAAUAGUUGGCAUUAGGCGGAAAUAUGGCAUUCAACCCAAAUAUUGAUGAUAUCAAAUAAUUUUUAAGCAAAUACUCGGUAGAAAUUAUUAAUCGGGACGGACCAAGUCAUAAUCUCCAAUAGUGCAUGACCUCACGCUCGUCAUCAAGUGUGUGUCGCACCUCAAUAUAACACUAUGAUGUGCAAUCCGGGGUUUCAAACCCUCAGAACAUCAUUGACAAUCAUUAUUCAUCUCGAACCAGUUAAAUCUCUAGCUCUCGAUGCCUUACCCCUAAAAUCGGCCUCUACGCGCAUCGAAUCUAUUCGAAAUUAGAAUAAGGACGUCAAAAUAUGUUAAGGGAACGAAUCUCAAGCGAAAACAAUCAAUAAAAGGCACAAAUCCCGAAAUUAUCAAAACCCACCCCCGGACUCACGUCUCGAAAUUUAGAAAAUUUUAAACUAACGCUCUCCCCAUGAGUUCAUACAUACCAAGAACGUCAAAUCCAUCCACAAAUGGCCCUUAAAAUCCCAAAUAUUUUGUCUCUAAUUUCAAGCCUUAGUUCUUCAAUUUUAGGCUUAGAUUCAUGUUUAGGUGGAAUUCACAUAAUAAUCGAGUUCUAGACCAAGAAUCUUACCUCAAAAUAUUUCCCCCUUGAAUCUCUCUUCAAUCUCCUUCAAAAAUCUCUAAAAAUGAUCAACUAUGGAGGAAAAUAAGCCCCAAAAUCGCAGACAAGACGAGCUUAAAACUUUCUGUCCAGGCAUAUUUUCCUUCCUCGCGAACGCGGUCAAACCCUCACGUUCGCGAAGAACGAACUCAUUUUACCAGAUUUUCCUCUACGUGAAUGCGACAUGGCCACCGAACAAGAUACUUCCACAACCUUAACCUUCGCGAACGCGCUCACUCUUCCAGGAAUGCAAUGGACACUUGACCUCGAAUCCAUCUGACCCAAAGUCCUCUACGCGAUCGCAAUUACCUUCUCGCGAAUGCGAUGCACCAUUUCCCCACCCUCCGUGAAUGCGAAGCCCUUCUUGCGAACGCAAAGGCCAAAUUCUACUAACUUCCUCUAACUCUUCGCGAAUGCGAGGGUUCACUCGCGAACGCGAAGAGUAAAAACCUGCAACAUUUGAACCUGCAACUUCUGCAAUUUUUCCAACUUCAAAAUGAUCCAAUUGACCACUCGAAACUUACCCGAGGCCCCUAGGACCUCAACCAAAGGCACCAACAUAUCCUAAAACCUUAUUCAAACUUGUUCCAAUCAUCAAAACACCUCAAACAAUAUCAAAUCACUCAAAACACAUCAGAUUCAAGCCUAAGUUUCUUAACCACGUCCGAAUGACUUGAAACUUUUAACACACAUCUCAAAUGACCCAACGAAGCUAUUGCAACUCUCAAAAUUUCAUUUCGACCCCUAUAUCAAAAUCUCGCCUAUCAAUCGGAAAUCGCAAAAUAUCAUCUUCGCCAAUUCAAGCAUGAAUCUACUCCGGACCUCUAAAAUCCAUUCUGAUCAUACUCCUAAGUCAAAUCACCUCCGGAAGCUAAUCAAACCAUUGGAACUCACAUCUGUAUCCUCUAACACAUAGGUCAAUAUCCAGUUGACUUUUUCAACUUAAACUUCCUUAAAAGAGAUAAAGUGUCUCAAACCUUAUCAAAUCUUUUCCAAACUCUAACUGCUCAACCCGAUCACCUAUAGGACCACUAUACCAAGCAAUUAGAAGCAGAAAUGGGGAAAUCAGAGCGGUAACCAAUAAGAUGACUGGACGGGUUGUCACAAUAUUCAUGAUAUGAGUAAUAAUGCACGAAAGAUCAUUCUGUGCCAUGAUUAUGUGAGGUAAAAGCACGAUGGGUGAUGUCGAGCCAAUUAUAUUAAUUUUUAUGGUGAGGAAGAGAGCAAAAGCACAAAGGGUGAUAUCGUGAACUUGUCUUUGGUUUCCUGGUUCUUGCUGAUAAUUGAGUUGUUGUGUUCUUUGCAUUAUGUAAUGGUUUUCUGUUGCUACUUGUCAUUUCCCGCGGCAUGUUUUCCCUUCCUAUAUUUAACUGUAAAUUUUUGCCUUUAUUUUUCUGAUGUAUAUAAUUUAACUAUACAGGUUUAUUUGGUAGUCUGGUUGUAGCCUCGUCAUUACUUCGCCGAGGUUAGGCUAGACACUUACUAGCACAUGGGGUCAGUUGUGCUGAUACUACACUCUGAACUGUGUGCAGAUCCCGGUACUGUAGCUUUUGAACGUAGUGAGGUUGCUGCUUCAGUCCACCAGGCGACUCGAUGUAGUCCUGCAGGCGUCCGCAGGCCGUGGAGUCUCCUUCUAUCUUUCCAUAUUGUUUCUUCUAUGUAUUUUAGAAACAACUUUGUAUUUUUCUUUCGGACAUCUAUUUGUAAUAUUCUUAGACAGUCUGUGAAAUUGUGACACCAUUCUGGGUAGCUUAUGUUUAUAGAAUUGUAUCGGUAGUGUUAUUAAAUUGUUACAUUCAUUCUUCC